GCACCUCCUCCUUGCCCAGAGUGGGGGCGGGGGGGGGGGGUGCUGGGAGCCUGCCCCCCGGAAAGCACAAAUUUGAAGCUCUGGGAAAAAUUACCAAGUCACGUAAACACAUGCAAAAUAACAGAGCACACACUGUGUACCAAACCCACUCUUUCUAGUUAAGCAAACCUCAAAAAGGAAAAAAAGGAAGAAAAAAUCCAAACGACCGCAAAAACUCCACAGUGCAUUUUUUAGACUGCCCAUUUGAAUAGAAUUAUGGUCACGGGCAUCAGUUCCUGGUGGCUGGCAUCUCACCCUUGAACCCUGUCCUGGUCCCCAAGUCCUCAGAGUAGCAAGAAACCCAGCCCAACCAGACUCUUAGGCUCCAGGUCAGCGGGGGAGACUGCCACUGCCACGGAGGGAGUGAGGGCCACGACAAGGGGGAGCGGCCACGAGGGUGUGAAGAGGGCCCCCCCAACCCAGACCUAAUGAACCCAUUUCCUCAGCAAGACCCAGGCCCCGGGGGGGGGGGUUGGAGCCCCUUUUCCAAACUGGAAUCAGAGCUUGUCCUGGCCCCAGCCCCUCCCUGGGCCUUUCAUUCUGGAAAAACAAGCCCGCCUGGCUAGCCUUGAGGCCUGGCCUCUCCUCCUGUUUUUUUAACUGGUUUAUAUUAGCUGGUGACCUCCCUUCUCUGGGCCCCGCCCAUGUCUCCCCAUCUCUGUCCCCCAUUCCCGCCUCUGUCUGCUGGGCUGCCUCUCCCCCACGGAGGGAAGAUGUCCAGGCAGUGCUGGAGGGAGACAGAAGUGGCCCAGGGCUGGUCCCUCUGUCUGGGAGGGGACAAGGGGGUAGGGGGCAGCUCCAGCCCUGAGCCGGGAGCCUGUGGGCGCCCUCCUGUUCCCAACAGGUUCCCUGGCCUCAGGCCCUGCACACUGAGGUCCAGCGGGGCCCUCGAGGUCUGGACUCAGCCCUCAGCUCGGCCCAAGUGCAGAAGUCUGAGGGGGCCGCCCCUGGGGGGGAAGCUGACCCCCCACGCACCCUGGGCAAGAAGGGACAGAGGCAGUGGAGGGCUGCAAACCCCUUUCCCCGCCCUCUCUGCUUGAGGCCAGCAAAACCAAAGUCAGCGGCAAAGGGCCGCUGCCCACCCCUCCACCCCCGCUCUUGGCAGGAAAUAGCCACAGAUGAGAGCAGAGAGCCCGCAGGCCACGUGCCCCUCCCCCGGCAGAGGCUUGAGGCCUCCUGCUCCUUCACAAGUGCCUGUGGUUGCUCAUUUCCCGGUGUCGCCCGCACUCCGUUUUCCCUCGGGAAGGGAACCGACCAGGACAAAGCAAACCCACGGACAUCACCUUGUCCCACCCUGAACUCUGGCCAAUCCCCCAGCCAGCCCAGAGGCCCAGACCCACCGCCCCUCUCCUCCUCGGAGGCGUGGCUGGACGAGGCCGGGGUCAGUCACUCAGCCUGACAGAGUCAGCUUCUGCCUCUUCCUCCCGAGGACUCAGACAUUCCAGGCAGCCGGGCUCACUGGGAGGAGAAACCACAGGCACUCAGAGACGCCACCAGCCACAACCAGACACAGAGACACGUGCUCACACCCACCAAUAAUGUCACGCAACAAAUAUUUGCUGAGCGCCUACUGUGUGCCAGGGCACUGCGAGUUGCCGGAGGGAGGCAGACGGACGGCAGGUCCGCCCGCUGACAAAUAAGGUUGUUUUCGUCUCUGGGAGAAGUGCUGUCUGGAGACGAAAACGGGGCAGGGUCUUCCUCCGUGGGACUGACCGGGAUGGCCUCUGAGGGAGGGACACCCACAGAAAAAUCCGUGUCGGAUUCGCAGUUGGCAGCAGGGGAGUAUGAGGAGAGCAGGAAGCUUCGCAGCUGGCGGGGCGGCCGGCGCAUCCGAAGGUCAGAGAGCGGAGCCCGUCUUCAGCUGUAACGUACCUUCCAAGGAUUUGAUCAACAAUCGCUCUGAGAGCAAGGACCGGUGACAAGCUUGGAGGGCACGAGAAACUGCCGGGGGCUUUCUGCUCACCUCACGGGGUCCUGAUUGCCACUGACGGGCAAGGGCACCAAAACACGCUGACCGUGCGGUCCUACCCGUGGGCGUGAACACGCGACGUUGCUCAAACGUAGCAAUAAUGAUGGCAUUCCUUUUUUUUUU